GAUGUACACUGGUAGCAAUCCAGACUGGUCGCUUAAUCGAUUGAAAAAGCAUCGAUUAUAGAUGAUUACUAUUGCGCGCUUCAAUUCAUGGAUUAAUUAAUCGAUUCUUUCAUAUUAGAAUAAUUCUCAAUUUCCUUACUAGAUACAAUAACAGAAGAAUUAAUAGUUUCGUCGUUACACAUUGAACCAUCCCUAUAUGCAGAUGUGACUUAAAAUAAUGUUAGUCAUCUAAAAAAAAACAGUUCUAAUGGAGAUGAUUAUCGAUCGUGCCUUGGUUGUUCCCGCAUGCUUAUAAACCGAUAACGGCGAUGUUGUUAUAUAUGAUUUAAGGUUAGUUUUCGUUAAAGAGUGCUACGGUUCGCAACAAGAUUCCCCUUUCCACGAUAUGUAACCUGAACUGCCGAUAUUGUUUUACCCUCGAAUCGACCAGUGUGCUUCACACAAUACUGCGCCUCGUAAACAGCAUCGCAAGGCUGUGGUUUGAUAUCGACGUCGCUUGAGAGAAAUUCGUUGCAUUGGAAGG